rnacentral:rRNA from 1 species
AGAACGAACGCUGGCGGCAGGCCUAACACAUGCAAGUCGAACGCUCCAGCAAUGGAGAGUGGCAGACGGGUGAGUAACGCGUGGGAACCUACCAUACGGUCGGGAAUAGCUCAGGGAAACUUGGGGUAAUACCGGAUACGCCCUUCGGGGGAAAGAUUUAUCGCCGUUUGAUGGGCCCGCGUCGGAUUAGCUAGUUGGUGGGUAACGGCCUACCAAGGCAACGAUCCGUAGCUGGUCUGAGAGGAUGAUCAGCCACACUGGGACUGAGACACGGCCCAGACUCCUACGGGAGGCAGCAGUGGGGAAUAUUGGACAAUGGGCGCAAGCCUGAUCCAGCCAUGCCGCGUGAGUGACGAAGGUCUUCGGAUUGUAAAACUCUUUUGGCGGGACGAUAAUGACGGUACCCGCAGAAUAAGCCCCGGCUAACUUCGUGCCAGCAGCCGC